rnacentral:rRNA from 1 species
GCUUCCUUGGAUCAGUGGCGAACGGGUGAGUAACACGUGAGUAACCUGCCCCGAACUCCGGGAUAACGCUGGGAAACUGGUGCUAAUACUGGAUAUGAGAUGCGCCUGCAUGGGUGUGUUUGGAAAGAAUUUUGGUUCGGGAUGGACUCGCGGCCUAUCAGCUUGUUGGUGGGGUAAUGGCCUACCAAGGCGACGACGGGUAGCCGGCCUGAGAGGGUGACCGGCCACACUGGGACUGAGACACGGCCCAGACUCCUACGGGAGGCAGCAGUGGGGAAUAUUGCACAAUGGGCGAAAGCCUGAUGCAGCGACGCCGCGUGAGGGAUGACGGCCUUCGGGUUGUAAACCUCUUUCAGUAGGGAAGAAGCGAAAGUGACGGUACCUGCAGAAGAAGCGCCGGCUAACUACGUGCCAGCAGCCGCGGUAAUACGUAGGGCGCAAGCGUUGUCCGGAAUUAUUGGGCGUAAAGAGCUCGUAGGCGGUUUGUCGCGUCUGCUGUGAAAACGCGAGGCUCAACCUCGCGCCUGCAGUGGGUACGGGCAGACUAGAGUGUGGUAGGGGAGACUGGAAUUCCUGGUGUAGCGGUGGAAUGCGCAGAUAUCAGGAGGAACACCGAUGGCGAAGGCAGGUCUCUGGGCCACUACUGACGCUGAGGAGCGAAAGCAUGGGUAGCGAACAGGAUUAGAUACCCUGGUAGUCCAUGCCGUAAACGUUGGGAACUAGGUGUGGGGUCAGUUCCACUGAUUCUGUG